rnacentral:sRNA from 1 species
GAGGAAGGGGCUCGGCAAAAGCUGCAGCUGGAAAAGGUGACAGCAGAGGCCAAGAUCAAGAAGAUGGAAGAGGAGAUUCUGCUUCUUGAGGACCAAAAUUCCAAGUUUAUCAAAGAAAAGAAACUCAUGGAAGAUCGCAUUGCUGAGUGUUCCUCUCAGCUGGCUGAAGAGGAAGAAAAGGCGAAAAACUUGGCCAAAAUCAGGAAUAAGCAAGAAGUGAUGAUCUCAGAUUUAGAAGAACGCUUAAAGAAGGAAGAAAAGACUCGUCAGGAACUGGAAAAGGCCAAAAGAAAACUCGACGGGGAGACAACCGACUUGCAGGACCAGAUCGCUGAGCUGCAGGCGCAGAUUGACGAGCUCAAGCUGCAGCUGGCUAAGAAGGAGGAGGAGCUGCAGGGCGCGCUGGCCAGGUCUGCGGCCCUGCAGCUGCACUGCACGGGAGCCCAUGGGGCUGAGUUUCAGCAGACUGUUAUGUUCGGGAGCAUCCAAAAACCCUGGGAGAGUGAGAUGGGGUUUACUUGCUGUUUGGUGUGACCUGAGAAAGUGAAAAGCCCAAGCGUACAGAAUUUGUGUCAGGGCAGCAAGAAAGUCUCAUAAACCAUCUCAGUAUUUAUACUUUAAAAUGACAAAUUAUACUAUGAAACCCUUGGAAAUUCACACCAGAACAAAUGAUUCCACUAUAACAAAUGUUUUGGUCUCUGUACAUUACAGAUUAACUGUAGUAUGUUUUAUUUACUUUUUUUUUUUGAAUGGAGUCUCACUUCUGUCACCCACGCUGGAGUGCAGCGGUGCAAUCUC